UGCAAGUCGAACGAUUAACCCUUCUUCGGAAGGUCAUAAAGUGGCGAACGGGUGAGUAACACGUGACCAACCUGCCUCUCACAUUGGGAUAACUUAGAGAAAUCUAAGCUAAUACCAAAUACUCUUGAUCUGCCGCAUAACAGACCAAGGAAAGCUUUCGCGGUGAGAGAUGGGGUCGCGGCCCAUUAGGUAGUUGGUGGGGUAGAGGCCUACCAAGCCGAUGAUGGGUAGCCGGGUUGAGAGACCGACCGGCCACAUUGGGACUGAGAUACGGCCCAGACUCC
rnacentral:rRNA from 1 species